GGAUUUCUGUGAAUUGCCUGUCCUACCCUGGAAUUACUAGACAACAGGAGACAGAGUGGAGAGGGCAAGGAGAAGCGACCCUGACGCCUGCCCAGCUUAUGGCUUUCUCUAAUUCUAACAGCCAGCAAGCUGAUGAUUUAUUCAGAGUGGGGCAACAAGAUCUUCUGAUCUCUGCUCCUCCCAGCCCUGGACCCCACCCCAAGGACAUGCCUCAGGACUGAGGAGAGCGGACUCUGUCUGGAUGGAUGGAUGGAUGGCUCUAAUAAAAACCCUACCCAGAGCCACACCCCACCUUGAGAUGCAACUGAAUGGAGGUCCAAGGUGCCUGCGGUGGCGACUGAGAAUGUGUUUCACAAAAUUCCCAGCAAACACCACUCUAGUGGUGUUCUGUUUGUUCACUUCUCUGUGACUUGAGGUUAAAGCCCGGCAGGCAGCGGUGAGCCAAGCACAGCUGGGUACCACCAUUAUCUGCAGCCCUUACUUCGGACUAGCAAAGAACUGCAAGCAAUGAAGGAAAUCAGCAAACACCUUCUAGAGGACAGUACUUGGAGUCACUUUCUCUUCAAGCACAGUCCUGAAGCUCUGAAGCCGGGAAAAUGUCCUACGCUUACCUCUUUACAUAUAGGAAGCACAAGAGAAGAAGAGAGUAAACAGUAAGCGAGAAAAGGGGCAGAUUCGGAGAAAGGUUUUGCUUCCAAGCUGGAAAAAAUAAAAGGAAUUAAA